CAUCUACUCCCUCCGCCCAGAAAUACUUUUCGCAGGAAUGGACGUAUCUAGGCGUUUUUAAUGUUAGAUACAUUCAUUUUUAGUCAUUUCUACGACAAGUAUUUAUGUAUGGAGGGAGUAUUAU
rnacentral:pre_miRNA from 1 species